AGAGUUUGAUCCUGGCUCAGAACGAACGCUGGCGGCAGGCCUAACACAUGCAAGUCGAACGAACCUUCGGGUGAGUGGCGCACGGGUGCGUAACACGUGGGAAUAUACAUUUCGGUAAGGAAUAACUCAGAGAAAUUUGGGCUAAUACCUUAUAAUGACUCCGGUCCAAAGAUUUAUCGCCGAAAGAUUAGCCCGCGCUAGAUUAGUUUGUUGGUGAGGUAAGAGCUCACCAAGACUACGAUCUAUAGCUGGUCUGAGAGGAUGAUCAGCCACACUGGAACUGAGACACGGUCCAGACUCCUACGGGAGGCAGCAGUGAGGAAUAUUGGACAAUGGGGGAAACCCUGAUCCAGCCAUGCCGCGUGAGUGACGAAGGCCUUAGGGUUGUAAAGCUCUUUCAGAUGCGAAGAUAAUGACGGUAACAUCAGAAGAAGCUCCGGCUAAAUUCGUGCCAGCAGCCGCGGUAAUACGAAUGGAGCGAGCGUUGUUCGGAAUCACUGGGCGUAAAGCGUAUGUAGGCGGACAUGAAAGUCAGAAGUGAAAUCCCAGGGCUCAACCCUGGAAUUGCUUUUGAAACUCCAUGUCUCGAGUCCCGGGAGGGGUUGACGGAAUU
rnacentral:rRNA from 1 species